rnacentral:rRNA from 1 species
AACGAACGCUGGCGGCAUGCCUAACACAUGCAAGUCGAACGAGACCUUUGGGUCUAGUGGCGCACGGGUGCGUAACGCGUGGGAAUCUGCCCUUGGGUUCGGAAUAACAGUUAGAAAUGACUGCUAAUACCGGAUGAUGACAUCGGUCCAAAGAUUUAUCGCCCAAGGAUGAGCCCGCGUAGGAUUAGCUAAUUGGUAGGGUAAAGGCCUACCAAGGCGACGAUCCUUAGCUGGUCUGAGAGGAUGAUCAGCCACACUGGGACUGAGACACGGCCCAGACUCCUACGGGAGGCAGCAGUGGGGAAUAUUGGACAAUGGGCGAAAGCCUGAUCCAGCAAUGCCGCGUGAGUGAUGAAGGCCCUAGGGUUGUAAAGCUCUUUUACCCGGGAUGAUAAUGACAGUACCGGGAGAAUAAGCCCCGGCUAACUCCGUGCCAGCCGCCGCCGUAACAC